GACGAACGCUGGCGGCGUGCCUAACACAUGCAAGUCGAACGGAAAGGCCCUGCUUUUGUGGGGUGCUCGAGUGGCGAACGGGUGAGUAACACGUGAGUAACCUGCCCCUGACUUUGGGAUAACCUCAGGAAACUGGGGCUAAUACCGGCUAGGAGCUCCUGCUGCUUGGUGGGCGUUGGAAAGUUUCGGCGGUUGGGGAUGGACUCGCGGCUUAUCAGCUUGUUGGUGGGGUAGUGGCUUACCAAGGCUUUGACGGGUAGUCGGCCUGGGAGGGGGACCGGCCAACUUGGGACGGAGGUACGGCCCAGACUCCAACGGGAGGCAACGGUGGAGAGUAUUACACAAUGGGCGGGAGCCUGAUGCGGCAACGCCGCGUGCGGGAUGACGGCCUUCGGGUUGUGAACCGCUUUCGCCUGAGACGAAGCGUGAGUGACGGUAAUGGGUAAAGAAGCACCGGCUAACUACGUG
rnacentral:rRNA from 1 species